rnacentral:misc_RNA from 1 species
CUUCACAUACACAUAACAGAAUCUCCUCAAGUCAUACACAAAUCCAACUAGCCAAUUAUACAUCACUAGACGAGUACAAAUACGGCUAAAUCAUGUAUGUCUCUACCUCAAUACUACUCCCUAGUUAAACCUCUCAUUAAGCACUGACACAAGGGAGUAUACAACAUUUCAUCCGCUUUCCUCGACUCACAGCUCCUAAUCAAACUAACUUUCUAGAUCUCGUCAGUGUUCUGCAGCCCUUAGCGCAUCGCCCAAGUUCACAUUCAGACUGUUCUUCAUUGUUCUUCUUCCAACAAUUCCACCACCA